UGAGUAAAUAAAGACAAAGAACAGAAGGAUAACUGUACCUGUCACAAACUGCUGAUAUUUCUGAUUUAGUUCCUUUUCCACAGAUUUAUAAAUGGUUUAAAUCCAAAAGUUGUUUUUGAAGUUGUGUGUGUGUUUGUCCUGAGAGUGUUGAGCUGCUAGAAAUGAUUUCCAUAGAUGUGAGGCUUUGCAUCGUCAGCUGAUCCUCCAGAGAACUGAGAAGGUUUAUAGUCCUGUGAGUUCAAGCCUGCAGGACUCAGAUCUGUCAGUCAACACAGCAGAAACAACAAGCACCAUGACUCUCAUCACCAUCCUCAUCUGGACUCUGCUCUGCUGCUGCUUCACAGGAUGCAGCGCUCAGGUGACUGUGGAUCAACCUGCAGUACAGACAUUUACUGCAGGAGACACUGUUAUUCUGACAUGUGCUACAAAUCCUGAUGUUGGCAGAUGGGAUGAUGAUGAUGAAGCUAUGUUCUGGUAUCAGCAGAAACCAGGACAGCCUCCAAAGCUCCUUGUAUAUCAUGUUAAAAAGCUUGAAUCAGGAACUCCAGCGCGGUUUAGUGGCAGUGGAAGCGGCUCUGAUUUCUCUUUGACCAUCAGUGGAGUUCAGGCUGAAGAUGCUGCAGUUUAUUACUGUCAG